rnacentral:rRNA from 1 species
UACGUAGGGUGCGAGCGUUAAUCGGAAUUACUGGGCGUAAAGCGUGCGCAGGCGGUUUUGUAAGCCAGAUGUGAAAGCCCCGGGCUCAACCUGGGAAUGGCAUUUGGGACUGCAAGGCUUGAGUGCGGCAGAGGAGACUGGAAUUCCUGGUGUAGCAGUGAAAUGCGUAGAUAUCAGGAGGAAUACCGAUGGCGAAGGCAGGUCUCUGGGCCGCAACUGACGCUGAGGAGCGAAAGCAUGGGGAGCGAACAGG